CCUACGGGCGGCAGCAGUGGGGAAUAUUGCACAAUGGGGGAAACCCUGAUGCAGCGACGCCGCGUGAGUGAAGAAGUAUUUCGGUAUGUAAAGCUCUAUCAGCAGGGAAGUAGCAAGACGGUACCUGACUAAGAAGCCCCGGCUAACUACGUGACAGCAGCCGCGGUAAUACGGAGGGGGCAAGCGUUAUCCGGAUUUACUGGGUGUAAAGGGAGCGUAGACGGUAUGGCAAGUCUGAAGUGAAAGGUCGGGGCCCAACCCCGGGACUGCAUUGGAAACUGUUGAACUGGAGUACAGGAGAGGAAAGCGGAAUUCCUAGUGUAGCGGUGAAAUGCGUAGAUAUUAGGAGGAACACCAGUGGCGAAGGCGACUUACUGGACUGUAACUGACGUUGAGGCUCGAAAGCGUGGGGAGCAAACAGGAUUAGAUACCCCUGUAGUC
rnacentral:rRNA from 1 species